rnacentral:rRNA from 1 species
GAUGAACGCUGGCGGCGUGCCUAAUACAUGCAAGUCGAGCGAACGGACGAGAAGCUUGCUUCUCUGAUGUUAGCGGCGGACGGGUGAGUAACACGUGGAUAACCUACCUAUAAGACUGGGAUAACUUCGGGAAACCGGAGCUAAUACCGGAUAAUAUUUUGAACCGCGGGGUUCAAAAGUGAAAGACGGUCUUGCUGUCACUUAUAGAUGGAUCCGCGCUGCAUUAGCUAGUUGGUAAGGUAACGGCUUACCAAGGCAACGAUGCAUAGCCGACCUGAGAGGGUGAUCGGCCACACUGGAACUGAGACACGGUCCAGACUUCUACGGGAGGCAGCAGUAGGGAAUCUUCCGCAAUGGGCGAAAGCCUGACGGAGCAACGCCGCGUGAGUGAUGAAGGUCUUCGGAUCGUAAAACUCUGUUAUUAGGGAAGAACAUAUGUGUAAGUAACUGUGCACAUCUUGACGGUACCUAAUCAGAAAGCCACGGCUAACUACGUG